CCCUUAGAUGGCCUGGGCCGCACGCGCGCUACACUGACAUGUUCAACAAGCCUCCUAGUUCGACAGGAUUUGGGAAAUCUUUGAACGCAUGUCGUGAUAGGGAUAGAUCAUUGCAAUUAUUGAUCUUGAACGAGGAAUUCCUAGUAAACGCGAGUCAUCAGCUCGCAUUGAUUACGUCCCUGCCCUUUGUACACACCGCCCGUCGCACCUACCGAUUGAAUGUUUCGGUGAAGAUUCCGGAUAGGACUUUUUUGAUUUAUUUCAAUUUUGUCUUAAAAGCUAUCUAAACCUCAACAUUUAGAGGAAGGUGAAGUCGUAACA
rnacentral:rRNA from 1 species